CUGGGCUCCCGGGUCGCUCUUGUCCGCUGGCUUCUGGAUCCCCUCGCAGACCCCUGUGCUGUCGUCCUCGCCCUGCUCUCUGCGAGCUCUUCGCAGAGGGAAGUGAGGCUUGAAGAAGCAACAGGAGACGCGCGCGGAGGAGGCGCCCAGCGCCCGAGCGGAUUUGCCAGCAGCUGUUGCUUUUUUAUGCCCCCCCCCCCUUUGGCGAGGGUAGGAAAUGAGCCAGACCAACACCGUGACAGGGCUGGUGUCUUUUGGAAAUAGGAAAUUCAGGGAAGAGAGGCAGAAAAAUAGGAAACAACGGAGCAUCAGCCACCUGCAACCUGCGUUCUUUGGGUGUGUUGGCAAUUAGCAUGAAUGGGAGCCAGAGGAAAGGGGAAGUGAAACUAACUCCCAGCAAGUGUUCAAUUAGCUGACUCUAUGUAAUGAUAGCAGAGCUUGCAAGAAUGGACAGAGAUCAGCUCCCCCACCAGGCACCUGUGUGUCAUGGCACACUUGUGGAGGUCAGAUGAC